rnacentral:rRNA from 2 species
CGAACGAACUCUGGUAUUGAUUGGUGCUUGCAUCAUGAUUUACAUUUGAGUGAGUGGCGAACUGGUGAGUAACACGUGGGAAACCUGCCCAGAAGCGGGGGAUAACACCUGGAAACAGAUGCUAAUACCGCAUAACAACUUGGACCGCAUGGUCCGAGUUUGAAAGAUGGCUUCGGCUAUCACUUUUGGAUGGUCCCGCGGCGUAUUAGCUAGAUGGUGGGGUAACGGCUCACCAUGGCAAUGAUACGUAGCCGACCUGAGAGGGUAAUCGGCCACAUUGGGACUGAGACACGGCCCAAACUCCUACGGGAGGCAGCAGUAGGGAAUCUUCCACAAUGGACGAAAGUCUGAUGGAGCAACGCCGCGUGAGUGAAGAAGGGUUUCGGCUCGUAAAACUCUGUUGUUAAAGAAGAACAUAUCUGAGAGUAACUGUUCAGGUAUUGACGGUAUUUAACCAGAAAGCCACGGCUAACUACGUGCCAGCAGCCGCGGUAAUACGUAGGUGGCAAGCGUUGUCCGGAUUUAUUGGGCGUAAAGCGAGCGCAGGCGGUUUUUUAAGUCUGAUGUGAAAGCCUUCGGCUCAACCGAAGAAGUGCAUCGGAAACUGGGAAACUUGAGUGCAGAAGAGGACAGUGGAACUCCAUGUGUAGCGGUGAAAUGCGUAGAUAUAUGGAAGAACACCAGUGGCGAAGGCGGCUGUCUGGUCUGUAACUGACGCUGAGGCUCGAAAGUAUGGGUAGCAAACAGGAUUAGAUACCCUGGUAGUCCAUACCGUAAACGAUGAAUGCUAAGUGUUGGGAGGGUUUCCGCCCUUCAGUGGCUGCAGCUAACGCAUUAAGCAUUCCGCCUGGGGAGUACGGCCGCAAGGCUGAAACUCAAAGGAAUUGACGGGGGCCCGCACAAGCGGUGGAGCAUGUGGUUUAAUUCGAAGCUACGCGAAGAACCUUACCAGGUCUUGACAUACUAUGCAAAUCUAAGAGAUUAGACGUUCCCUUCGGGGACAUGGAUACAGGUGGUGCAUGGUUGUCGUCAGCUCGUGUCGUGAGAUGUUGGGUUAAGUCCCGCAACGAGCGCAACCCUUAUUAUCAGUUGCCAGCAUUAAGUUGGGCACUCUGGUGAGACUGCCGGUGACAAACCGGAGGAAGGUGGGGAUGACGUCAAAUCAUCAUGCCCCUUAUGACCUGGGCUACACACGUGCUACAAUGGAUGGUACAACGAGUUGCGAACUCGCGAGAGUAAGCUAAUCUCUUAAAGCCAUUCUCAGUUCGGAUUGUAGGCUGCAACUCGCCUACAUGAAGUCGGAAUCGCUAGUAAUCGCGGAUCAGCAUGCCGCGGUGAAUACGUUCCCGGGCCUUGUACACACCGCCCGUCACACCAUGAGAGUUUGUAACACCCAAAGUCGGUGGGGUAACCUUUUAGGAACCAGCCGCCUAAGGUGGGACAGAUGAUU